rnacentral:rRNA from 1 species
GCAGGCCUAAUACAUGCAAGUCGAGGGGUAUAGAUAGCUUGCUAUUUAGAGACCGGCGCACGGGUGAGUAACGCGUAUGCAACCUACCUUCUACAGGGGAAUAGCCCGAAGAAAUUCGGAUUAAUGCUCCAUGGUUUAAUUGGAUGGCAUCAUUUGAUUAAUAAAGAUUUAUCGGUAGAAGAUGGGCAUGCGUAUCAUUAGCUAGUUGGUGUGGUAACGGCAUACCAAGGCGACGAUGAUUAGGGGUCCUGAGAGGGAGAUCCCCCACACUGGUACUGAGACACGGACCAGACUCCUACGGGAGGCAGCAGUGAGGAAUAUUGGUCAAUGGAGGCAACUCUGAACCAGCCAUGCCGCGUGCAGGAUGACGGUCCUAUGGAUUGUAAACUGCUUUUGUACAGGAAGAAACCUCACUACGUGUAGUGAUUUGACGGUACUGUAAGAAUAAGGAUCGGCUAACUCCGUGCCAGCAGCCGCGGUAAUACGGAGGAUCCGAGCGUUAUCCGGAAUUAUUGGGUUUAAAGGGUUCGUAGGCGGUCAGAUAAGUCAGUGGUGAAAUUUCUUAGCUUAACUAAGACCCGGCCAUUGAUACUGUUUGACUUGAAUAGUAUGGAAGUAACUAGAAUAUGUAGUGUAGCGGUGAAAUGCUUAGAUAUUACAUGGAAUACCAAUUGCGAAGGCAGGUUACUACGUACUUAUUGACGCUGAUGAACGAAAGCGUGGGGAGCGAACAGGAUUAGAUACCCUGGUAGUCCACG